UGUGUAAUGUCUGAGUAAAGGAUUUCCUUGAUAAGGAAAAGCAAGUGUUUAUAGCACUUACACUACC
rnacentral:tRNA from 1 species